rnacentral:lncRNA from 1 species
GGCAGCGCCCUGAUAGAGCAUCCAGCAGGAGCUGAAACCGCUGCUGUAGGCAGCCCAGACCCCACUGGAGGAGAGACAGGUUGGAGUUUGUUCAACAGCUACCAAGUAUGAUCUCUGGGAAAAUCCAAAGGAAGAAACUAAGGAACAAGGAAUGGGGAAGAGCCUGGCUUUGCUGCUGAUCAGAACGUGCUCAUCCUGGACUGCUUUUCUGCCUUCUGGUCUUAAGAGGUGCUGAACAACUUUCUGAAUAAGAGUAGCAGCUACCAAUUUUUGUUCUGGUGCUUUGGGGUAUCUCUAAAGCAAUA